CUCAAUGAUCAUUUCAAUAGCCGCAAUUAUUAUUGUGCUAAGGUAGCAUAAUCAUUUGCCUUUUAAUUAAAGGCUAGAACGAAAGAUUUAACAUUUUAAUUUCUAUCUUAAAUCUACUAACCCUAAUCUAUCUUAAAUAUAAAAAGAUAUUUAUAAAUAAAAAAGACGAUAAGACCCUAUUGAACUUAACUUUAGUUAAACUGGGGUAGUUAAUCAAAUAACAUUUUAAUUCAGAUAUUAAUAAAAAAGAUCUAUUACAACUAAUUAGAUGAUCAAGUUACCAUAGGGAUAACAGCGCAAUAAUUUUUUUAAGAUCUUAUUUAAAAAAUAAUUUGCGACCUCGAUGUUGAAUUAAUAGCCAAUCACAACGAAAAAGUUUCACUUGGAAGUC
rnacentral:rRNA from 1 species